UAUAUGCAAACCCAAGUCUAUGAAGAUUAUCUUGGAGAGACCCAAUCCUGAAACACAAGCAUUGUAGACUUUACAGAUGAUUUUCUUUAGUAUUUUUCCAACAGUACAUCAUUUUGAACAGAUUUAUAUAAAAUUAAAUUAUUGAAUAAAUUGUUAUCUUUUUCUGGAGAAAUAAAAUAAAUUCGACUAAAUAAUGAUAUUUAGCUAUAACGGGUUAUACAAACGUGUAGCCGACUUAGCUCAGUGGUAGAGCGCGUGACUUUUAAUCCUGUGGCCGUGGGUUCAUUACCCACAGUCGGCGUUUUAAUUUUUCGAAUUUCAAAUAUUCAGAACAAUAUGUACGGAAACGAUAAGAAUAGAGAUAUGCAACUUCGAAGGAACGAGAGAUACGUACGCGCACCGUGAUUCGAACCGCCUGGGGUCCAAACUCUAAUCCAGACGGUCUUCGUCGUCGCUGGAACCGAAGCUCUCCAUUUGAUGAACUCGCUCGUAUCCCAAUGUACUCGUGAGGAGUUUAUUCAGAGAUGUACAAAUGCAUUAGAGCCACAGUUCUUUUUUUUUGGUCAAACAAAUGCAUUCAUUCAUAAAAGAGUUUACACUCCACCAAGGGAGGAUGAAUUUAGAAAUGAGAGGGCUGAUUUUGCCUCUGAAUCAGCCUGCACAUUCCUCAACCGAAGUACAUAAACAAAAGAUAUGACAUCAAAGGAAGAACUAAAGUAGUAGAUAUCAAAUAAAAUUUCCAAUAUGAGCAUUUUUCCUUCAUCAUCUUGACAAGGGAUUGAGAGUCACUCCGGAUCAUGAGGGAUUUAACAUUUGAAGAGGCAGCAUACAUGAGUCACUCCGGAUCAUGACGGAUUUAACAUUUGAAGAGGCAGCAUACAUUACUGCCGACCGGAUGGCAAUGGCCUCAGCCAUGAAAAUCCACAGUUCUUUUUCUUUUCUUAUAGAUGUCCUUGGGUUGCUCUUUCACCAAUGCCAUUUCUGUUGAUCCUCAGGAGCAGAACCACUUCUAAGACGUUUGGACUUAAAUGGAGCUUUGCUUUCUCAAAUUCAGCGUGCUCCUACUUCAGCAUUUCUAUAUCCUUGCAUCCAGCAGGAGUAAGUUUCUGAUCCCUUUCUUUUCAUCCAACAGGUAGUUGCUGUGGGAGGUUAUGAAGGUCUUGUUGAUGUCUCUCAAUUUGGAAGCCAUCCCUAUGCACGUUUCAUAGCAGCUCAUUUGUAAAUCUCUUUACAGUUUCUCGGUAUGGCCCAAUAACCCUAAAGAGGUUCUUGAACCUGAAAAAGAGUUCAAGAUUCCGGUUUCACAAAUGUUCUGAGAUGGUUAAGGGAACAGUAGUAUUUUUGGUCCGAUUCGGUUUAAUAUGUCUAUAGCAAAUUAUUUGAACCGGUUGGUGGUUCAGUUACUUCAGUAGUUGUUUUGAAUAUGAAUUGUUCUUCAAGGCCAUUGGGCCCGGUUAAGUCUGAUCUCGUACAUGGUUUAUGAUAAUGAGAGAAGCUUAAUGAACUUCCUUUUGAUUUUCUGUUACUGAGGAGGGAGUUAUCAUCUAGUUUUCUUAUAUAACUGUCACGAAAAAUAUAUCAAAUACUUUAUUAACCAUUAAUAAUUUGUUUAUUACAAAAAGACAGAGUUGACCAUUAAACUACGAAUGCUAAAUAGCAAUCGUUUACAUUGUAUUAUUUAGAUGACUACAUGACUUUUUCUGUUGAUACUGUUCUUUUAAAAAUAGAAGAACACAUCAGUAUCUAAAUAAAUUAAUAACUAAUCUUAUCUUCUCCAAAAUAACUUUGUUAAUAAGGGAUUGAGAUUUGUCUAUAUCAUCAGCUGCAUUACUCAAAUUACAUUAGUAAUUUAGUAUUAUGAAGAAUAAGUCAAUAAUAAUGCUUUAACAAGUUUAUGCGUAAAGAGAUGUAAAGGCAAAGUGGGGGUCAAAGGUACAGAUUUGAACACACCACCAAUGCAUGUCAUUGUUUUCACUGACAGUAACAGUAUUCUCUGUUCCAUUGAGAUGUAGUACUGUUUAAUAAGAGAGAUUUUAAAUAUUACUUCUGCGUGACAGUAAACUUUCACAUGAUUACAAAAGCCAGACUAGGUAAAAAGGGGAGAGACUACUUGGACCAUCUCCAGCCUAUUCCCGUAUUUUUUUCUCUAAAAUAAAAAAACUCAAUAAUAUAGAUGGGCUUGUCUUCAAUAUAUUCCUCUAUUUCUUCCUCUAAAAAGGAAUAUUUUUGAUAUAUUCUUUUCUAAUUUUACAAAUAGUAUCUUUUAUUUGUGAAAGUUGAAAACCAAUCCAAUUUAGUGUAACACUCAUAAAAUUAUGAUAUUAUUUACAUUGAAUAUUUUUAUAGAAACU